UACGGGGGGGGCAAGCGUUGUUCGGAAUUACUGGGCGUAAAGCGUGCGCAGGCGGUUUUGUAAGCCAGAUGUGAAAUCCCCGGGCUUAACCUGGGAAUGGCAUUUGGGACUGCAAGGCUCGAGUGCGGCAGAGGAGACUGGAAUUCCGCGUGUAGCAGUGAAAUGCGUAGAUAUGCGGAGGAACACCGAUGGCGAAGGCAAUCCCCUGGGCCUGCACUGACGCUCAUGCACGAAAGCGUGGGGAGCAAACAGG
rnacentral:rRNA from 1 species